rnacentral:rRNA from 1 species
GACGGAGGAUGCAAGCGUUAUCCGGAAUGAUUGGGCGUAAAGCGUCCGCAGGUGGCAGUUCAAGUCUGCUGUCAAAGACCGGGGCUUAACUUCGGAAAGGCAGUGGAAACUGAACAGCUAGAGUAUGGUAGGGGCAGAGGGAAUUCCUGGUGUAGCGGUGAAAUGCGUAGAGAUCAGGAAGAACAUCGGUGGCGAAGGCGCUCUGCUGGACCAUAACUGACACUCAGGGACGAAAGCUAGGGGAGCGCAUGGG